UACCUACGGGGCGCAGCAGUAGGGAAUCUUCCACAAUGGACGAAAGUCUGAUGGAGCAACGCCGCGUGAGUGAAGAAGGGUUUCGGCUCGUAAAGCUCUGUUGGUAUUGAAGAAAGAUAGAGGGAGUAACUUGCCUUUACUUGACGGUAAUUACUUAGAAAGUCACGGCUAACUACGUGCCAGCAGCCGCGGUAAUACGAAGGUGGCAAGCGUUGUCCGGGUUUAUUGGG
rnacentral:rRNA from 1 species